GACAGAGGCCUCGAGCGUUAGGCGGAAUCACUGGGCUUAAAGCGUGUGUAGGCGGGGCCGUAAGUGUCUUGUGAAAUCCCACGGCUCAACCGUGGAACUGCUGGGCAUACUGCGGGUCUUGGGCCAACUAGGGGCAGCCGGAACAAACGGUGGAGCGGUGAAAUGCGUAGAUAUCGUUUGGAACGCCAAUGGUGAACACGGGUUGCUGGGAGUGUGCUGACGCUGAGACACGAAAGCCAGGGGAGCAAACGGG
rnacentral:rRNA from 1 species